AUUGAACGCUGGCGGCAGGCCUAACACAUGCAAGUCGAGCGCGAAAGCACUUCGGUGUGAGUAGAGCGGCGGACGGGUGAGUAAUGCUUGGGAAUCUGCCCAGUAGUGGGGGAUAACGUGUGGAAACGCACGCUAAUACCGCAUACGUCCUACGGGAGAAAGCAGGGGAUCUUCGGACCUUGCGCUAUUGGAUGAGCCCAAGUCGGAUUAGCUAGUUGGUGGGGUAAUGGCCUACCAAGGCGACGAUCCGUAGCUGGUCUGAGAGGAUGAUCAGCCACACUGGGACUGAGACACGGCCCAGACUCCUACGGGAGGCAGCAGUGGGGAAUAUUGCACAAUGGGCGAAAGCCUGAUGCAGCCAUGCCGCGUGUGUGAAGAAGGCUCUAGGGUUGUAAAGCACUUUCAGUAGGGAGGAAAUGUUGUUGAUUAAUACUCAACAAUCUUGACGUUACCUACAGAAGAAGCACCGGCAAACUCCGUGCCAGCAGCCGCGGUAAUACGGAGGGUGCGAGCGUUAAUCGGAAUUACUGGGCGUAAAGCGCGCGUAGGUGGUUUGAUAAGCUAGCUGUGAAAGCCCCGGGCUUAACCUGGGAACUGCAGUUAGAACUGUCUGACUAGAGUACAGUAGAGGGUGGCGGAAUUUCCUGUGUAGCGGUGAAAUGCGUAGAUAUAGGAAGGAACAUCAGUGGCGAAGGCGGCCACCUGGACUGAUACUGACACUGAG
rnacentral:rRNA from 1 species